UGAGUUUGAUCAUGGCUCAGGAUGAACGCUGGCGGCGCGCUUAACACAUGCAAGUCGAACGAACCUUCGGGUUAGUGGCGGACGGGUGAGUAACGCGUGAGAAUCUGCCCUCAGGAGGGGGAUAACGGUUGGAAACGACCGCUAAUACCCCAUAUGCCUACUGGUGAAAUGAAUUUCGCCUGAGGAUGAGCUCGCGUCUGAUUAGCUAGUUGGUGGGGUAAUGGCUCACCAAGGCUUCGAUCAGUAGCUGGUCUGAGAGGAUGAUCAGCCACACUGGGACUGAGACACGGCCCAGACUCCUACGGGAGGCAGCAGUGGGGAAUUUUCCGCAAUGGGCGAAAGCCUGACGGAGCAACGCCGCGUGAGGGACGAAGGCCUCUGGGCUGUAAACCUCUUUUCUCAAGGAAGAAGAUAUGACGGUACUUGAGGAAUAAGCCACGGCUAAUUCCGUGCCAGCAGCCGCGGUAAUACGGGAGUGGCAAGCGUUAUCCGGAAUUAUUGGGCGUAAAGCGUCCGCAGGCGGCUUAUCAAGUCUGCUGUUAAAACGUGGAGCUUAACUCCAUCAUGGCAGUGGAAACUGAUAGGCUUGAGUAUGGUAGGGGC
rnacentral:rRNA from 1 species